rnacentral:rRNA from 1 species
UACGUAGGGGGCAAGCGUUGUCCGGAUUUAUUGGGCGUAAAGAGCGUGUAGGCGGCCAGGUAGGUCCGUUGUGAAAACUCGAGGCUCAACCUCGAGACGUCGAUGGAAACCAUCUGGCUAGAGUCCGGAAGAGGAGAGUGGAAUUCCUGGAUGUAGCGGUGAAAUGCGCAGAUAUCAGGAAGAACACCUAUGGCGAAGGCAGCCUC